UUAGCCUCCAUUCAAUGUUUCCCUUCCAACAAAAUAAUGAAUUUUCGUCCCAAAUCUCCUCGAAUCCCCACCAAGAUAUUGCUGAAGACAAUCCGAUCUUGGGUGGAACUUCCAACCUUUCCAACUUUAUGGUGGAUGGCCAGCCUCCUUUAAUAUUAGCAAAUUCAAACACUAAUAAUGAAGUUAAUUAUACUUGCGAUGAGAAGAAGAUCAUUCGCAAGGAGAUCGAACGGCAAAGAAGGCAACAAAUGUCUACUCUUCAUGCAUCGCUUCGAUCCCUCCUUCCUCUUGAAUCACUCAAGGGAAAACGUUCAAUGUCUGAUCACUUAAAUGCGGCUGCGAAAUAUAUAAAAAACCUUCAGAAUAACGUCCAAGAACUGAGUGUUAAGAGAGAUAUGCUCAAGAAUUUGUCCGAUUCUUCUACUUCUCUUGAUGACCAAGGGACGGAAAUUAGUUCACAAAAUAAUUUCAUGAACACUAUUGUUACUGUCCGCUCUCAUGUGGGUGGAGUAGAGAUUGGCGUAAGUUGUGGAUCCGGAGAGAACAGUUUUACUCUAUCAAGAGUGCUAGAAGCUGUUGUAGAAGAGGGAUUUGACGUUGUUAGCUGCAUUUCCACCAAAAGAGAUGGAAGGUUAUAUAGUACAAUUCAGUGCCAGGCUAGCCAUCUAACCUGCAUUGAUGUAGCUGAGCUGCAACAGAAACUGAAUGAUGGGAUCGAUGGGGGGAAAAAGGAUCAUUUGAAGUAAAGCGUUGAUACAUUGCAUGCAUAAACAUCAAAAAUUGGCCUCAACAAUAUAUGCACUGGCAUUGCACAUCAAUUUAUACUUCAAGGGUGCAUGGGAUUAAACAAGAUAGACCCAUUCAACGCUGAUCGACUAAUUAAAUGCCAGAAAAGGAAGGAGGCUACCCAGUUGAAGCACACUUCAAAGAGGGAUCACACAUAAUUAUCAGAUGCAUUUCCUGGAGAGGGACAUUAAUUCAAUAGACGUCUAAAUUAGUGCACACAAACGUUCAUUGCUCUUGACUGGCCGUAACUUUCUUUGGAAAUUACUUUAAUAAGACUACCAUAAUUAAUUUUAUGUUUGCUGAAAUUGCAUGAUCAAUUUAGGCACAUAUAUGUUUUGUUUCUUUGACAAGAUCGUUCCGGUAGUGAAACAGAAAUUGUCAAUUCUUGUAUUGUUUAUACAGAAAUUGUUUAAUGUUAUAUAUAUAUUGUUUACUGUUA